rnacentral:rRNA from 1 species
GAUGAACGCUAGCGGCAGGCCUAACACAUGCAAGUCGAGGGAGAGGUUACCUUCGGGUAGCCAAAACCGGCGCACGGGUGCGUAACGCGUAUACAAUCUGCCUUUCACAUAGGGAUAGCCCGAAGAAAUUUGGAUUAAUACCUAAUGGUAUAUAGGAGCGGCAUCGUUUUUAUAUUAAAGCUACGGUGGUGAAAGAUGAGUAUGCGUUCUAUUAGCUAGUUGGAGAGGUAACGGCUCCCCAAGGCGACGAUAGAUAGGGGUUCUGAGAGGGAUGUCCCCCACACUGGUACUGAGAUACGGACCAGACUCCUACGGGAGGCAGCAGUGAGGAAUAUUGGACAAUGGUCGGAAGACUGAUCCAGCCAUGCCGCGUGCAGGAUGAAGGUCCUAUGGAUUGUAAACUGCUUUUGUAAGGGAAGAAUAAGGAGUACGUGUACUUUGAUGACGGUACCUUACGAAUAAGCAUCGGCUAACUCCGUGCCAGCAGCCGCGGUAAUACGGAGGAUGCGAGCGUUAUCCGGAAUCAUUGGGUUUAAAGGGUCCGUAGGCGGGCUGAUAAGUCAGAGGUGAAAGCGCUUAGCUCAACUAAGCAACUGCCUUUGAAACUGUCAGUCUUGAAUGAUUGUGAAGUAGUUGGAAUGUGUAGUGUAGCGGUGAAAUGCUUAGAUAUUACACAGAACACCGAUAGCGAAGGCAUAUUACUAACAAUUUAUUGACGCUGAUGGACGAAAGCGUGGGGAGCGAACAGG